GAUGGCAAGAAUAUUUGAAAUAGCGGGGGUGGGAGUAGCAAGAUAACUAUACUAUGCAUGAUGCCCUCUAGAUGUUUUGCAUGUGUCUAUAUGUAGUCAUCCUGUCUCCAUCUUAGCAAUGCUAUGAUAUGACAAACAGGGGUUGUGUUAUGGAAUUCAGUUAGCAAUGCUUUGAUAAAUAUUUGAGAUAAAAAGAUUACCGAGCCUCACUUUGCUAAAUAUUUGAGAUCUUAUAAACAUAUUUGCAUAACUGUUGUUUUGUUGUUUCCAUGAAAUUCUGCACGUAGCGUCUUGAAGAGACCAAUCUAUAUUUAGCUGAGCUAUGCGAAGUUGCAACCCUCACUAUCUCCACGAGAGCGUUUAUAGUUUUUAUUGCCAUGUGGAAACUUUGUGUAUGAAGUUAUGGCACCGCAAAUACUCCCCAUGUGUGCGCGCGCGCAUGCGGUGCCUAGGGUAGGUAGUAGAGUACUUCAUAUACCUGUACUAUUCAUGCUUCAACUUUGGGGUAGUUUUCAUGUGCAUACAACAUAUUGGACCUUGCAGGACCCUCUUGGCAUCCUGUUGCUGGAAAAAAACUACACAGCGGAAUCGUUUUUUUAUUUCUGAAACAAGAUUUCUAUUGCACAAGCCUUCUGAAACAGGAUAGUGUUUUCCAUUUCUUAAAGCUCAAAUCUUGUUGCGCAAAAUUGUAGAUCAAAAUUAGUGUCUACAUGUCCUGGAUACCUAGCUAGCUAUGUUCCAGUUUGACAAUCAACUUUGUAGAUUCUCAGUUUGACAAAGUUUUUAUAAGAUGUUUAAUUUUUGGAUGGAACAAAAAAGGAAGCAUAGUUGAAAUGCAAUGCAAUCAGACUUGUAAAGGUCCUGCAUUGCACAAAAUCCUAAGGAUGAGGCCAGAAGAAGGUUCAAUGAAGUGAAAAAAUUACUCCGUACUUGGUCUGCAUGCAGUGAUCGACUACUGGUCUGCUUGUCAGGUUAGGCCAAAACAAAACGUUGUUGGUAAUUUUACGGUUUGUAACUGAUGCCCUUGCCACAAGAAAUUUAUUGAUGUCGCAAUUUUGUAGUCUAACCCUUCAGUCCUCAUAAGAAAUAAAAUAGACAUCUGAUUUGAACACUUACUUCUACAUAUAUGUGUGCAAAACAGCUAAAUUAUGUAGAGUAGGCCUCAAAAGAACACUUACUUUUGCUGUUAAUUUGCAAGACAUUCUUAAUUUUGCCUCAAAAGAAUGACAAUUUUGUUACUCUCAGCAUUUAUUGUUGGUUACAGAUAGAGAGUUGGUAGUUGCUUAAAGAAAGACUAAAACCACAAGGUCACAUUUGAAGUUAUAGGUCGAUUUAGCGAGUCAUAAUAGACAAAAUAAUUUACUUAUCAUACUAAACUAUUGUGAUCUCGGUCCACAUUUUUGGGAACCACUAUACUACCUAUUAGUUAAUUAGCAGCACCCUAAUACCUAGAUGUAACUUUGUAGAUGCUUUUCUACUGUUAAUUGCAUCUUGCAUGAAUUUUUUAUUCUUCUUGCAGUUGUUCUGUUUCCCACAGAAGCUGCAUCUUUCUAGAAGCUGCUACAUCAGAUUAAGUAAGUACACCCUGUUUGCCACAGAAACAAUUAACAGGCAUUACCUUCAUCGUUAGCGCUGAUACU
rnacentral:lncRNA from 1 species